rnacentral:tRNA from 1 species
UGGGGUAUCGCCAAGCGGUAAGGCAGCGGGUUUUGAUCUCGCCAUCCCUAGGGGAGGUUCGAAUCCUAGUACCCCAGCCA